GGGCCGGUGGGGUAGCUUGGUAACCUUCAGCGUUUGGGACGCUGUACCCCCGGUUCAAAUCCGGGCCGGCCCA
rnacentral:tRNA from 1 species